rnacentral:lncRNA from 1 species
CUAUAUUGAAGAACUUCCUUAAUUGAAGUCAUUUUAUUUAUUAUUCAUCUCGAAAUAAGGUAGGUAUGACAAAAUCAUUUUCCAUUAUGAUACCUAUAGUUUUAAAUGUAUCAUCAUGUUUCUUGAUAAACAAGAAUACUGAAUUAAUAAUUUUGAAAUUUUUGUUUUAUCAUUAGAUAUUGAAUCAUCACAAUUUUAUUAUUGCAUGAAUGUAAUUUAUCGUUGAAAUAUUGACCGACGGAAAUGGGUUACCAUAAUACAUCCCGUCUUCGAAGAGCGUAUACGAAAAUGACAUAAGCAAACAUAAAGGACUAUUGUAUCAUAUCUCUGUCCAUAGUACCUUGACAAGAAAUCAUACAUUCAAGAGCAUACAAAUGUUAGGGAAGAUGUAUUUAAUUUGAUAGGAACAAAGGAUAUGAAAACUUUAUAUAAUGAACAUAAAUCACUAUAUCUCAAGUAUCUUCAUCUGCUAUGUCCUUUUAAAUUUUUCCGUUUUCUUAUAAAAUAUUUUAGCUCUGGUGAUAUCAGCUAAUGGCUUUCCGAUUUAAUGGGUUUAAGGUGUUGAUUUUCUCACUAAUCAUCAUACAGAUAACUCUUGGUAAGUUUAUUUUGAAUUUAAAAAAAAGAUGUGGUAUGAUUGCCCAUGAGACAACUAUCGACCAGAUACCAAAAGAGGACGUAAUAAAUCUAUGUUGCUUUUUAUCAUCUAAAAUGGCUAAAACGUCAAAUUUGCAAACUUCGUGUUGAAAAUAGGUCAUUACAAAAACAGGUUGACAGGAUCAAACUUGAAACUUAAAUGUCCAGAGAACAAGCAAGUUCAAACCUUGUAUGUGUAGUCGUUGAACUUAAGGUUCCCAUGCAAAGUUAAAAUGCCCCUAUAACGAGAAGAAUAAACUCACGAAAACACGAAAAAAUCACUAAAUAGGCUAUUUACCAAUUCCCGUCAAUUACCCUGAAAUUGGAGAUCCCUUUCUAGUCGUCUCCCUUAUGAGGGACAUUAAUUUUUAAUUUACAAUGAAGAGCUAGCAGAAAGAGCAAAUUUACCUGUGCCUAAUGUGUGUAAUCUUUAAGGUUUUCAAAUCUUUUAAUUACAUUAAUUUGUUGUUAAGCUAAAUACUUUUGACAUCAGAAAUUGCUUUUUAUGAAAAAUUAGUUAACCCGCGAUACAUCACUUUCAAUUCAAUCAGUUGAUUGGCAAAACCAAUUUUUGUCUGGUAUGGAAAGUCUACGAUUGUCAAAGGGAGUAAUUUGUUAAAAAAAAGUAGGUAAUAACAAGAAUCGAAUCGGUAAUUGGCAAAUGGACUAUUCGCGUUCAUUGUUUUGAUUUUGACCGCCUGACAACUUUACAGAAAUAUCAGAGUGAUUAUUAACAAGGACUCUGUGACGGGCAAUAUCCGUGUUUUAAAGAUUUUAAUGAUAUCAAGCCAGUCAAGUUUAAACUAUUAUCACGUGGUACAAUUCUCAUUUACAUAUUAUGAAUAUUCAUUUGCAAAAGUACUACUAAUUUCUGCCUAUGAUCAUUCAUAAUUUAAUAGAGGUUGAUAUAUACAAUUAUGAACAACCGUUUGGCCGUCUCAGAUAUGGCAAACUCCAUAGCUGGUUUUUUGUUUAAAAUUCUGACCGCAAUGUCCAUACGUGAACUUAUGUCAAUAUACGGGUAAGCUAAAAAAAAUAUUAAAACAGAGAAUGAGAUAAACGAUAAUAGAAUUAAACAAAUCAAAAAAUCAUAUGUUGAUUGUGGAAUAACAUUUUAGAAUUCUACACACUGAGAUAAAAUUUAAAACAGGGGUGAAAGUCACAAGAGGGAAAUUUAAACUGACAAGUCGAAAAUAAACUGACUACACCUAAGUGAAACAGAAAAAGACAAACAGACAAACAAUAGUACAAAACAUAGCAUAGAAAACUAAAGACUGAGCAUCACAAACCCCACCCAAAACUUGAGAUGAUUCCAAUGCUUCGGGAGGGCUAGCAGAUCCUGCUCCGCAUGUGGCACUCGUUUUGUCUCCGUUGAUCAGUAUGUUCUUUUUCGUUUAAUAUUCCUAUAUAUUAAAAUGAAAUAAUACGUGCAUUUACAUAUAGUUUUUCCAAGGAACUUUUCCGGACUUACCUCCAUGAAAAACGUUAAAACCCCCAAAAUAAGAAAGCCGAAUAUGUAAACAUACUAUUACUUAUACAAAAACCAUAGGGAAAAAAGAUAUAUUAAAAGAAAAGACUGUUACAUGCAAAAGCUAUUUGAAUUAUGAUAUUGAUCAAUAGAACAUAAUAUAACGCCUUUUUCUUUAUUUAGUUUAGACUAAAAACUAUAUAAUGAUAAAGCAUUUUAAACUACUCAAUUCAGAUGAAGCUUCGCAUUUUGAAAAUGUAUUUUACAUGUUUACAUAAUUGUUGUCUAACGGACUAGUUAUAUUUAUAGGAAAAUCUGUAAAAAAGGACAACACAGUCAAAGAAGACCUCACAGGUGAAUACAAAAGUUAGGGCUGCGCGUUAUAUCCUAUGGGUCCCAACCAAAUCAUGUUGGCUGCGUUUGUUAAUUUGUUCAGAAAGGUCACAAAUCAUGUUGAUUGCUUUAAAUGUUUGAUGAAAUUAUAUCAGGUUUGGUUACAAUAAAUAUUUUUAAAAGGAUAUUCCGUGUUAGCUGUAUUGGAGGAAUCUUAAUAGAAACCACAAGCGUCCUAACUUAUAAAUAUCCGUUCCCUACGUAUUAUGUCCAAUGAUAUUCACCUUAAUUGAACUAUUGCCAAGAUUUAAUGCUUGAUUUUUUGUACAUAAUACAUUUAACGUUAAAAAAUUUACAAAAAUGUCCUUGAAUGGAAUAUAUAUUUUAUUUUACGACCGACUAACCGUCACGAUUAACAAGAUUAAAAUCUUAACAUAAUCACAGUACUGCGAACUUAAAAUUUAUGUAUUGAAAAUUAAAAACUGUUUCUAAUUUAAAAGAUUUAAGAGCAGUGUGAUUUAUUGACUUGUUUUUUUUCUCUUUCGAUAGUAUGUUUCUAAUGACAUUUAUGAGUUAGAAAACAGAUUUUAACAUUAAUUUGAAACAUUUUUAUUUCAACAAAAAUAAUAUUUUAGAGGAUUUAAAUUAUGUAAAAAAUAAGUAAUAAAUCAAUGUUGUUCAAAAGGAUAUGAAUUAAGCAUUUCCUUGAUGCUUUCGAAUCGUAGAUUCUAUAAAAUUAUAUCACUGGGCGCAUAUUUUAUUUAUAUAAUAAAUGAAAUUGAUAUUGAAAAUAUUUUUUCCAAAUAUAUUAUUUCUAACAAAAUCAAGUCAGAGUCUCGAUUAAUCUAACGAUAGGUGUAUACUUUAUGAAACAUCACAUAUUCAUUCAUUAUUGAUUUGAUUAUUAAUAACAACAAGACAGCUAUUUUUGUGACCCACGUGUUGUGGAACUUCUUUAUACCUUAUACACAGACAAAAGAAAAACCAAACUGUAAGAAAAGCUCAAAACGGAGAGUCCCUUAUAAAAUGGCAACAUCAAAAACAUAUCCCAAGACAAACGUGGUCUUACCGAUUCCUGAAAUAAGCUAAAUUUUGAUGGUGUUACUUUGAAGUAACUGGAGUCGGUUUUAUAAAAAACGUACGACUAAAACUGAUCGUAGUUCAUGAUCAAUUCGGUGUACUAACGAUCAAUUCUAGUCGGAAGUUUUAUUUUGUGAAACCAAAUCUUGUUUUAUAUUUACCAUAAUCAUCGUCAUCUCUAAUUUAAUAUAUUAACUACAUGGUUGCUUACAUUAACAGUUCCUCAGAUAGUGUUGAUUAGCGUGAUCAGCCUUGUUGGGACCGUGGCUUUUAUAGUAACAAUAUACAUGGUAGCUAAAGGAGGAGGAAAAGGAGGUAAGAUUACAAUUGUUUCUUUUAAAAACUAUAUUGCAAUUACUUCUCUAGAAGUAAGCUUUAAAAUAUUCUUUUUUUCAGUUCAUCGUUAAUUUUACUUUGAAUAUUUGUCAAAAACUAUUGCUAUAAAGUAGUAGAGAAGAUUGCUUUUAUCUUUCAUGGAAAAUGGACAUUGCCACUUUUCCCUAGAGUCGUGUUUCAGAAAAUAUAAGUUUACAAUUCUUUUUGGAGUUAGAAGAAUGAUACACUUUAGGGUUUUGAUUAUGUUUAUAUAAUGAAAAUUAGUGUAAUCCUUUCGUCUGACAACGGGUACAAAUUAUUGCAAAUUCAGGAAACAAUACAUUGUUAUUUGAAUGAGUAACACAUCUUGUUUAUUAUAGAUAGUUAAGGCAGAAUUUUGGGUUUCAGUUUCAAAUGUGUACCGCAUUUUGUGAUUACGAUACAUGAUCACAACUUGCUAUACACUAUAAAAAGCACAGUUCUUAGAAAACAUAAGCAGUGUUAUUCCUUUACUAGAAGAAUAUUGUACUGUAAGCUGUUGAUAUAAAUUCAGAAAAUAAACUUGCUAAAAACAAAUAAAAAUUACUUGGCACGGACUAGUUAGAAAUGGAGACUUUUAAUUUUUAUUGUUGUUUAAUAAUAAAGAAAUAUGUUGAACCAAUCCGUUGUAGAUCGAAUCAGAUUAAUAAAAUAUGUCACGAGAGAGCACAGUUAUAAGUUAACAGCAAAAGAACUUCAAAAUCUAUAAUUAAAAUGGAAUUUUGAAUUUGAAUUGUUAUAUAAUCAUUUUUAAUAGCUGGUAACUGAAUGGCAUGUUGUACAUUUGUAAACAAUCUUAAACAGAUAAAGUAUACUUUUGAGUUGUUCAAAACUAUAAACGUUCGCUCAAACAUUACCAACAAGAGUGUUCAUAGGUUUAACUUUCGUUGUGUAUAAAAUAAAACAUAAGAUACAAUAAGAAUGUUCAUAUUAAGGACUGACUAUUGGUUUACUUCAGGUUGUGAAGGCGGAGGAUGUACAAUAGGGUAAGAAUAAACACAUUCAUGCACACAGAAAAAAUAUCACACAUUCAUACAUUUCAUAAUGGUACAACUUUGUUUCAUCAAACAGGAAUAGUCAAUGAAAAAACAAGCAUACUAUCUAGAAAAGUGACUGAUUAUACAUUUUGGAAAACCACCUUAAUUGCAAUAAAAGGUGGAUUAACAGCAUGACAUAACAAAACUAGUCAAAAAUUUACUAAAUUUAUCAUCGGUAUAAGGAAUCAUUCGUAAAUAUAGCUCAACAUGCAGAAUUCUAUACGUUCAGGUAUUUCACAUCCGAUAUUUUAUGGAAAUAUUCUUUAUAAAGCACAAAAUGUCAGUAUUCACCUCAGAAGCUAACAAAACCUUGACAUAGACUUAUUAAGAAGGGAUACAGUUACGAUACUGUUGUCAGGUCAUUAAAGUUUGCAUAUUUUGGCGUUAACAUUGAUUCACUUAUAGGGUCUUUGCAUCGGAACUAAACACAUUUAUGUUCUCUCAUAUAUGUUAUGAUGGUAUGAUACUAAACCUCCGGAAGAUUGUGUGAUAUUCAUAUGAUGAAGGCAUAAUCUUUCAAUCAGUUUAAUUGAGCUGGAUGUCAUUAACUGCUAGUAGUCUGAUGUUUUUUUUAUUUAUUGUCAUUUUAUUUAUUUUCUUUGGUUACAUCUUCUGACAUCAGAUCGGACUUCUCUUGAACUAAAUUUAAUGUGCGUAUUGUUAUGCGUUUACUUUUCUGCAUUGGCUAGAGGUAUAGGGGAGGGUUGAGAUCUCAUAAACAUAUUUAAACCUUGCCGCAUUUUUGCGCCUGUCCCAAGGCAGGAGCCUCUGCCUUUGUUAGUCUUGUAUUAUAUUUGAUUUAGUUCUUGUGUACAAUAAUGAGUUUAGUAUGGCGUUCAUUAUCACUGAACUAGUAUACAUUUUGUUAGGGGCAGCUGAAGGACGCCUCCGGGUGCGUGAAUUUCUCGCUGCAUUGAAGACCUGUUGGUGACUUUCUGCUGUUGUCUUCUCUAUGGUCGGGUUGUUGUCUCUUUGAGACAUUCCCCAUUUCCAUUCUCAAUUUUAUAAUUGAAAUUUUAUAGUGUGGUUUCUAUGGUGUGAAGUUAUACUACUGUUUCAGAAAAAGGAGAAGGUACCAUUAAAACGUUCAAUUCCUCUGCAAUUGUUUGCACCUGUCCUAAUCUGGAAUCUGAUGUUCAGUGGUUGUCGUUAGUUUAUGUGGUUCAUAAGUGUUUCUCGUUUCUCGUUUCUCGCUUUUUAUAUAGAUUAUUCCGUUGGUUUUCCCGUUUGAAUGGUUUUACACUAGUAAUUGUUGGGGUCCUUUAUAGGUUGCUGUUCGGUGUGAGCCUAGGCUCCGUGUUGAAGACCGUACCUUGAUCUAUAAUGGUUUACUUUUAUCAAUUGUGACUUGGAUGGAGAGUUGUCUCAAUUUCUCUCAUACCAUAUUUGCCUAUAUCUAUAUUAAACCAGUUUAAAAAGGUAUAACUCAUCAGAUCGUUACAAAGAAAACAACAAACAAAAACACAGAUUGGACGUGGCAAGGAAUAUAUCCCUCCCUCAUCCCUAACCACAAAAAAAGCACUAGGUAUAGAGAAUAACCGCAGUCACUGAUAGCUAGUUCAAUGCCAAUAAUAACUAAUAAAAAGACAUGUACGUUGUAUCUAAGACUUAAAGGUACCAGGAUUAUAAUUUAACACGCCAGACGCGCGCCUCGUCCACAUAAGACUUAUUAGUGACGCUUAGAUCAAAUUAGUUAUAAAUCCAAACAAAUACAAAGUUGAAGAGCAUUAAUGAGGACCCAAAAUUUCAAAAAAUUGUGCCAAAAACGGCUAAAGUAAUCUAUUCCUGAGAUAAGAAAAUCCUUAGUAUAAUAAAGCAUACACUAAUAUCAUGGCAAGUACUGCAGUUCCACAAAACAAGAUAUAAGGCAAAUUUCACGGAGUAUGCAUUAACCAAAAAAUAUAUGCAUGCGCAAGGCCAGUUCAAUGACACACACACUAACAAUUUUUGUGUGAUGGAGGUAACGAGUGUACAUGUAGAACAAUAAUUUUCUUCAUCUCCAAUUUUAAAGAAAUAUAAGAAUUAAAGGUAUGUCUUAGUGAAUAAACUUCGGACUUUUAUUUUUUUGUGAGUGAAGUUGUAGAGUUUAUUCACCAAUAAAUGACUUUAAAAAGACGUUGAAUCCUUGAGUGAUCUAGAAGUUAUUGAAUGAAAGUCAUAUUAAUGAAGGUUAUCAGCUCGUUUCUCGAUCCUAUUAGUUAUUCAUUUGUAUAAAUAUCAUUUUACCAAAAUGUAAAUCAAAGAAGAUGUAGUAUGGUUGGUAAUGAGACAACUCUUCACCAACCAGUGUGUAUAUUAUUUAACCUGAAUUUCACUUACAAAAUAUGCUUACACUAUGAAAAGAAAAAAAACACUAAUAAAUAUUUUUAGUUUUCUUUAUUUUUCAGCUGUUCAUGCCCUUUUUAAAGAAGAAUUUAUCAAGAAAGAGAGAAAAAUUGACUGCUUUAGGACAUUUUAUAAGGAUUGAUUAAACAUAAAAGUGUAUGACCUUUUAACUAUAACAAUGCUGAAGUAUUUUAAGUGUGCUGUUCUUCUGUGUCCAGCAAGGCUCUUGUAACAUUAAGUUUAUUUAAUACUAGUAUGACGUCAUAUAAGUGUUUUCAAUGUCUACUAGGUUUGAUACUUUGAGAAGUUAGUGUAGUUCACAUUUAUAUUAUUAGUACGGUGACCAGACACAAUAUUUUGAAGAUUUAAUCGUCAAACAUACUAUAUGGUUAUAUUAUAUAUCAUUGGAUUCGGAAAAAUGAGUACUUUUGAAAUUUCGAUGUCGUCAAAA